rnacentral:lncRNA from 1 species
UCUCACACGUCUCUUUCUUUUUCUGAGAAAUCAGUUCACGCGUAUUGCUCCCCUCCCCAAAAAGAACAAUGAGUCUCUUUCAACUUUCCCAAAUUCAGCACAAAUCAAUUGACCCUUCCCCUUCUCUAUUCACCACCUCUUCUCCACCACCCCAAGAUAACAAACCCUGGUCGCUUCCACUGUAGAGCACUGUAAGAUUCCUUUCUUUUUCAUCGUCUACAACUCGUGAUUUCUCUUUGAAUUAGCAGAUCAGUCACCAAAAUGGUGAUACAACAUUCAAAUUCACAUUAAUGGUUUGGGAAUUGAACAAAUUCGAGAAAGAGUUGUCCCUUUCAAUUAUUUUUGUAUUUUAAAUUCCUCAUCUCUCUACCCAUUGAUUUCUAUUAAUUUUGUGUUUCAAUCUAGACUUUGAAGUCUGGAUUUGCCUAUAAAUAUCGAUAAUUUCAUGCUUUAGAGGGAGUUUUUUAGACCUUCAAAAAUAGGGGUGAAAAGGGAGAGUUUGGAAGGAGGGAAAUCUGUAAAUAUGACAAUCUUUAUUUCUUUCUCUCCUCCCCUCGAUUCUUAUAUUGUUUAGUCUGAAUAUGGCUAGUUUUGGCAGGUCAUUUAUUUUGGCGGUGCUUCGAUGACGCCGUUGAAGCGAUGCCACCCCCUACUGUUCGCUUUCAUCGUGAUGCUGAAAACUUAAUUUUCAUCAUCAUGAUUUAUUCAGUUGGUCUUUCUUAUUGUUGAAAUUAUUUAUGUUUCGUCAUGUACGAUUUUGUGUGCUACUAAUUUCUCGUGAAUUUCGUCUUCUCCGACGAACUUGGUCAUUGACUAUUGCUCUUUGUGUUAUUGUCUGGAUUGUCUUUUGAAGUUUGUUUGAUAAUUU